rnacentral:rRNA from 1 species
GGGUGAGUAAUGCCUAGGAAUCUGCCUGGUAGUGGGGGAUAACGUCCGGAAACGGGCGCUAAUACCGCAUACGUCCUGAGGGAGAAAGUGGGGGAUCUUCGGACCUCACGCUAUCAGAUGAGCCUAGGUCGGAUUACCUAGUUGGUGGGGUAAAGGCCUACCAAGGCGACGAUCCGUAACUGGUCUGAGAGGAUGAUCACUCACACUGGAACUGAGACACGGUCCAGACUCCUACGGGAGGCAGCAGUGGGGAAUAUUGGACAAUGGGCGAAAGCCUGAUCCAGCCAUGCCGCGUGUGUGAAGAAG